GCAGGAGCCCUCAGUGUUGCCCUGUGUGUAUUUGACAAGCUGAGUUCGACACUCAGUGUGGCAGUGUCAGUUUGUCAAAUAUACAAAGUGCGGCAUUUGUCCAG
rnacentral:pre_miRNA from 1 species